CUUUGACAAGUCGCCGCCGCUGCAGCAAAAAUAAAGGACGCGGCCACCGCAGCCGCUGCUGACCGGGGCUCGGGUCACAGGAGCCGCGCCCCACCCCCGCCAGCUCCGGAGCUACGUAUGGCAGUCAGGACCAUAAGAGAAGAAUUUGGAGAGCUGGCUGUGUCCUAGUGAAGAUAGAAAACAUGGAGACCUGGGAACUAUUACUCACAAAAAAGGACUAAUGGCUAAAGAGUAAAUCACCAUGGCAACUAUGGUUCCACCAGUGAAAUUGAAAUGGCUUGAACACCUCAAUAGUUCUUGGAUUACAGAGGACAGUGAAUCUAUUGCCACAAGAGAGGGGGUUGCUGUUCUAUAUUCUAAACUGGUCAGUAAUAAGGAAGUAGUACCUUUGCCCCAACAAGUUUUGUGCCUCAAAGGACCACAGCUACCAGAUUUUGAACGUGAGUCUCUUUCAAGUGAUGAGCAGGACCACUAUUUGGAUGCCCUUCUUAGUAGCCAGCUAGCACUAGCGAAGAUGGUAUGUUCAGAUUCUCCAUUUGCCGGGGCACUUCGAAAACGACUGCUUGUACUCCAGCGUGUCUUCUAUGCACUUUCUAAUAAAUACCACGACAAAGGCAAAGUGAAACAGCAGCAGCAUUCUCCGGAGAGCAGCUCUGGUUCAGCAGAUGUCCAUUCUGUUAGUGAACGUCCCCGGUCAAGCACUGAUGCACUUAUAGAAAUGGGUGUUCGAACUGGUCUAAGUUUAUUAUUUGCACUUCUAAGACAAAGCUGGAUGAUGCCUGUGUCAGGACCUGGUCUCAGUCUUUGCAACGAUGUUAUUCAUACUGCAAUUGAAGUCGUGAGCUCUUUACCACCAUUAUCGUUAGCAAAUGAAAGCAAGAUUCCUCCUAUGGGCUUGGACUGCUUAUCACAAGUAACAACAUUUCUUAAAGGAGUAACUAUUCCCAAUUCUGGGGCAGACACUUUAGGUCGUAGAUUAGCUUCUGAAUUGCUGCUUGGUUUAGCAGCUCAGCGAGGCUCUUUGAGGUACCUUCUUGAAUGGAUAGAAAUGGCUUUAGGGGCUUCAGCAGUUGUAAAUUCCUUGGAGAAAAACAAAUUACUACCAAGCCAGGAAGGAAUGAUCAGCUUUGACUGCUUUAUGACGAUACUAAUGCAGAUGAGGCGUUCUUUGGGUUCAUCUGCUGAUCGGAGUCAGUGGAGGGAACCAACCAGAACAUCUGAUGGCUUAUGCUCACUCUAUGAGGCAGCUUUAUGUCUCUUUGAAGAGGUGUGCAGAAUGGCUUCUGAUUACUCAAGAACAUGUGCUAGCCCAGAUAGCAUUCAGACUGGUGAUGCUCCAAUUGUCUCAGAGACCUGUGAGGUUUAUGUUUGGGGAAGCAAUAGCAGCCAUCAGUUGGUAGAAGGCACACAGGAGAAGAUAUUACAGCCCAAACUGGCUCCCAGUUUCUCUGAUGCUCAGACUAUUGAAGCUGGACAAUACUGCACUUUUGUCAUUUCUACGGAUGGUUCUGUCAGAGCUUGUGGUAAAGGCAGCUAUGGGAGACUGGGCCUUGGAGAUUCUAAUAAUCAGUCUACUUUAAAAAAGUUAACAUUUGAGCCUCACAGGUCCAUUAAAAAGGUUUCAUCUUCCAAAGGAUCUGAUGGUCACACUUUAGCUUUUACGACAGAGGGAGAAGUCUUCAGUUGGGGAGAUGGUGACUAUGGGAAACUGGGACAUGGAAAUAGUUCAACACAGAAAUAUCCCAAGCUUAUUCAGGGCCCUCUUCAAGGAAAGGUAGUUGUUUGUGUGUCGGCUGGAUACAGACAUAGUGCUGCUGUCACAGAGGAUGGUGAAUUAUACACAUGGGGUGAAGGAGACUUUGGAAGAUUGGGUCACGGUGACAGCAACAGCCGUAACAUUCCAACAUUAGUAAAAGACAUUAGCAAUGUAGGAGAGGUUUCUUGUGGCAGUUCACAUACUAUUGCUUUGUCUAAAGAUGGGAGAACUGUGUGGUCUUUUGGAGGAGGAGACAAUGGCAAACUUGGCCAUGGUGAUACCAACAGAGUGUAUAAACCUAAAGUCAUUGAAGCUUUACAAGGAAUGUUUAUACGGAAAGUUUGUGCUGGGAGCCAGUCUUCACUUUCUUUGACAUCAACAGGGCAGGUCUAUGCCUGGGGCUGUGGAGCUUGUCUAGGUUGUGGUUCUUCAGAAGCUACUGCUUUGAGACCCAAGCUUAUUGAAGAACUGGCUGCCACCAGAAUAGUUGAUAUUUCUAUUGGAGACAGUCAUUGUUUGGCUCUUUCUCAUGAUAAUGAAGUUUAUGCCUGGGGAAAUAACUCAAUGGGGCAGUGUGGCCAAGGAAAUUCCACAGGUCCUAUUACUAAACCAAAGAAAGUGAGUGGCUUGGAUGGCAUAGCUAUUCAGCAGAUCUCUGCUGGAACGUCACAUAGUCUGGCGUGGACUGCUCUUCCUAGGGACAGACAAGUUGUUGCAUGGCACCGACCUUAUUGUGUAGAUCUUGAAGAGAGUACCUUCUCACACCUGCGUUCUUUUCUUGAGAGAUACUGUGAUAAAAUAAACAGUGAGAUACCCCCACUCCCUUUCCCCACAUCAAGGGAACACCACAAUUUCCUCAAGCUGUGCCUGAAGCUGCUUUCAAAUCACCUUGCUCUUGCACUUGCGGGAGGGGUGGCUACCAGCAUUCUAGGGAGACAGGCAGGUCCACUUCGAAAUUUGCUCUUCAGACUGAUGGACUCAACUGUCCCAGAUGAAAUCCAAGAGGUAGUAAUUGAAACUCUGUCAGUGGGAGCAACCAUGCUAUUACCUCCAUUAAGAGAACGUAUGGAAUUACUUCAUUCUCUUUUACCCCAAGGACCUGAUAGAUGGGAAAGCUUAUCUAAAGGACAGAGAAUGCAACUGGAUAUCAUUCUGACAAGUUUGCAAGAUCAUACCCAUGUAGCCUCCCUACUUGGCUAUAGCUCACCCUCUGAUGCAGCUGACCUCUCUUCUGUGUGUAUGGGCUACGGAAGCCUGUCAGAUCAACCUUACGGCACUCAGAGCUGCCAUCCAGAUACCCAUCUGGCUGAAAUUUUGAUGAAGACUCUCUUAAGAAAUUUAGGAUUUUAUACGGAUCAAGCAUUUGGAGAGCUAGAAAAGAAUAGUGAUAAAUUUCUACUUGGAACAUCAUCUUCAGAGAACAGUCAGCCUGCUCAUCUUCAUGAACUGCUGUGUUCACUACAGAAACAGCUGCUGGCUUUUUGCCAUAUCAAUAACAUUAGUGAGAACUCAAGCAGUGUGGCAUUGCUUCAUAAGCAUCUUCAGCUCUUAUUGCCUCAUGCCACAGAUAUUUAUUCACGUUCUGCAAAUUUGCUCAAAGAAAGUCCUUGGAAUGGCAGCGUUGGAGGAAAAUUAAGAGAUGUGAUAUACGUCUCAGCUGCAGGCAGUAUGCUCUGCCAGAUUGUUAAUUCCUUGUUAUUACUCCCCGUGUCCGUGGCUCGGCCUUUAUUGAGUUACCUCCUCGACUUGUUGCCACCUCUUGAUUGCCUUAAUAGACUCCUGCCAGCUGCUGCUCUGUUAGAAGACCAAGAGUUACAGUGGCCUCUUCAUGGAGGGCCAGAACUGAUUGAUCCUGCUGGUUUGCCAUUACCUCAGCCAGCUCAGUCCUGGGUGUGGCUUGUGGAUCUGGAAAGAACAAUUGCUCUCCUUAUUGGGCGCUGUCUUGGUGGCAUGCUCCAGGGAUCCCCUGUGUCUCCAGAGGAACAGGACACUGCAUAUUGGAUGAAAACACCACUUUUUAGUGACGGCGUAGAAAUGGACACCCCUCAGUUAGAUAAAUGUAUGAGUUGCCUCUUAGAAGUAGCCCUUUCGGGAAAUGAAGAACAGAAGCCUUUUGACUACAAAUUGCGGCCUGAAAUUGCUGUCUAUGUAGACUUGGCUUUGGGUUGUUCAAAAGAGCCUGCACGAAGCCUUUGGAUCAGCAUGCAGGAUUAUGCUGUUAGUAAAGAUUGGGACAGUGCAACUCUAAGCAAUGAAUCACUCUUGGACACUGUGUCUAGAUUUGUUCUCGCAGCUCUUCUGAAACACACAAAUUUACUUAGUCAAGCAUGUGGAGAAAGCCGAUAUCAACCUGGUAAAAGCUUAUCAGAAGUGUACCGUUGUGUGUACAAAGUUCGAAGUCGUUUACUUGCUUGCAAGAGCCUUGAACUUAUUCAGACCAGGUCAUCAUCACGAGACAGAUGGAUCUCAGAAAACCAAGACUCUGCAGAUGUUGAUCCUCAGGAGCAUUCAUUUACCCGGACCAUUGACGAAGAAGCUGAAAUGGAGGAACAGGCUGAGCGAGAGAGGGAAGAGGGGCAUCCAGAGCCAGAGGAUGAGGAGGAGGAACGUGAACAUGAAGUGAUGACAGCUGGCAACCUUGUUUUUGUGUUGCAUGUUACAGAAAUCUUUCAGUGUUUCCUCUCAGCUCGUGAAGUAGCUCGUAGCCGAGAUCGAGAUAGAAUGAACAGUGGGGCAGGGUCUGGGGCUCGAGCUGAUGAUCCACCUCCUCAGUCUCAGCAAGAGCGAAGGGUCAGCACAGACCUUCCUGAGGGUCAGGAUGUGUACACAGCUGCCUGCAACUCCGUGAUCCAUCGGUGUGCCCUCUUAAUAUUAGGAGUAAGUCCUGUGAUUGAUGAGCUUCAGAAGCGGAGGGAAGAAGGACAGUUGCAGCAACCUUCAACAAGUGCCUCUGAAGGGGGUGGACUUAUGACCAGGAGUGAAAGUCUUACUGCAGAGAGCCGGCUAGUCCAUGCAAGCCCAAAUUAUAGACUGAUCAAAUCGAGGAGUGAAUCUGAUUUGUCUCAACCUGAAUCAGAUGAAGAGGGUUACACACUGAGUGGAAGACGAAAUGUUGAUUUGGAUUUGGCAUCAUCUCAUAGAAAGAGAGGUCCUAUGCACAGUCAAUUGGAAUCCCUGAACGACUCUUGGGCUCGCCUGAAACAUAGCAGAGACUGGUUGUGCAACUCCUCUUACUCGUUUGAGUCUGAUUUUGAUCUUACCAAGUCUUUGGGAGUUCACACUUUGAUUGAAAAUGUUGUAAGCUUUGUGAGUGGAGAUGUGGGGAAUGCCCCAGGUUUUAAAGAGCCAGAGGAAAGUAUGUCUACAAGUCCCCAGGCCUCCAUCAUUGCCAUGGAACAGCAGCAGUUAAGAGCGGAACUCCGUUUAGAGGCACUUCACCAGAUCCUCGUUCUGUUGUCUGGAAUGGAGGAAAAAGGUAGCGUCUCUCUGCCAGGAAGCAGGUCGAGCUCAGGCUUCCAGUCAUCCACACUGCUCACAUCUGUGAGGCUGCAGUUUCUAGCUGGGUGCUUUGGUUUAGGCACGGUUGGAUACGCAGGAGCCAAAGGGGAGAGUGGCAGAUUGCAUCACUAUCAGGAUGGGAUCAGAGCAGCAAAGAGAAAUAUACAGAUCGAAAUCCAGGUGGCUGUGCAUAAGAUUUAUCAACAAUUGUCUGCUACCCUGGAGAGAGCCCUGCAGGCAAAUAAGCAUCACAUUGAAGCCCAGCAACGUCUCCUUUUGGUUACAGUGUUCGCCCUGAGUGUUCACUAUCAACCAGUGGAUGUUUCUUUGGCAAUUUCCACUGGUCUGCUAAAUGUAUUGUCACAGUUAUGUGGCACAGACACUAUGCUAGGACAGCCCCUGCAGUUGUUGCCAAAGACCGGUGUUUCUCAGCUUAGCACAGCUUUAAAAGUGGCUAGUACAAGAUUGCUCCAGAUUCUAGCCAUCACUACAGGGACCUAUGCUGAUAAACUGAGCCCCAAGGUAGUUCAGUCCUUGUUGGAUCUACUCUGUAGUCAGUUGAAGAAUUUGUUGUCCCAAGCUGGUGUACUACUUAUGGCCUCUUUUGGAGAAGCGGAAGGAGAAGAGGGUGAAGAAGAAGAAAAAAAAGUUGACUCCAGUGGAGAAACUGAGAAGAGAGAUUUUAGAGCUGCACUUAGAAAACAGCACGCAGCCGAACUGCAUCUGGGGGAUUUUUUAGUUUUUCUUCGCAGAGUUGUAUCUUCAAAAGCAAUUCAGUCAAAAAUGGCUUCCCCUAAGUGGACAGAGGUACUUCUGAAUAUAGCAUCUCAGAAGUGUUCUUCAGGUAUUCCUCUAGUUGGUAACUUAAGAACGAGGCUCCUUGCACUUCACGUCCUUGAGGCUGUGCUACCAGCUUGUGAAUCGGGUGUAGAAGAUGAUCAAAUGGCCCAGGUUGUUGAACGCUUAUUUUCCCUUUUGUCGGAUUGUAUGUGGGAAACACCCAUUGCUCAGGCCAAACAUGCUAUUCAGAUAAAGGAAAAAGAACAAGAAAUAAAACUACAGAAGCAGGGAGAGCUGGAGGAAGAAGAUGAGAAUCUCCCCAUACAAGAAGUAUCCUUUGACCCAGAGAAAGCUCAGUGUUGCAUAGUAGAGAAUGGACAAAUUUUAACUCAUGGCAGUGGAGGAAAAGGCUAUGGAUUGGCAUCAACUGGAGUAACUUCUGGUUGCUAUCAGUGGAAGUUUUACAUUGUGAAGGAAAACAGAGGUAAUGAAGGCACAUGUGUUGGAGUUUCUCGAUGGCCAGUACAUGACUUCAACCACCGUACUACCUCAGAUAUGUGGCUCUAUCGGGCCUACAGUGGUAACCUCUAUCACAAUGGAGAACAGACUCUGACAUUGUCAAGCUUUACUCAAGGAGAUUUCAUUACCUGUGUGUUGGACAUGGAAGCCAGGACCAUUUCCUUUGGUAAAAAUGGAGAGGAACCCAAAUUAGCUUUUGAAGAUGUGGAUGCAGCAGAGUUGUACCCAUGUGUGAUGUUCUAUAGUAGCAACCCUGGGGAAAAGGUGAAAAUUUGUGAUAUGCAGAUGCGUGGAACACCACGAGACUUACUUCCAGGAGACCCCAUUUGUAGUCCAGUAGCAGCAGUGCUGGCAGAGGCCACUAUUCAACUUAUCCGAAUCCUUCACCGAACAGACCGUUGGACUUACUGCAUUAACAAAAAAAUGAUGGAAAGGCUGCACAAAAUUAAGAUAUGUAUUAAAGAGUCAGGUCAGAAGCUAAAGAAAAGCCGCUCGGUUCAAAGCCGAGAGGAAAAUGAAAUGAGGGAGGAGAAGGAGAACAAAGAGGAAGAGAAAGGUAAACAUAAUAGACAUGGCCUUGCUGACCUCUCAGAGCCGCAGCUGAGGACUCUUUGCAUAGAGGUGUGGCCUGUGCUGGCAGUGAUAGGAGGAGUUGAUGCUGGCCUUAGAGUUGGAGGUCGGUGUGUUCACAAGCAAACUGGGCGCCAUGCCACGCUGCUGGGAGUGGUCAAAGAGGGCAGCACGUCUGCCAAGGUCCAAUGGGAUGAAGCAGAAAUUACUAUCAGCUUCCCAACUUUUUGGUCGCCUAGUGAUACUCCAUUGUAUAAUCUGGAACCCUGUGAACCACUGCCGUUUGAUGUGGCGCGAUUCCGAGGCCUGACGGCUUCUGUGCUGCUGGACCUCACGUAUCUGACUGGCAUUCAUGAAGACAUGGGCAAACAGAGCACCAAGCGACAUGAAAAGAAACACCGACAUGAAUCUGAGGAGAAAGGGGAUGUUGAGCAGAAAAUGGAGAGUGAGUCUGCUUUAGAUAUGCGAACAGGCCUAACAUCUGAUGAUGUCAAAAGUCAGGGUACCACAAGCUCCAAGUCAGAAAAUGAAAUAGCUUCAUUUUCUUUAGAUCCAACCCUGCCAGGUGUGGAAUCUCAACACCAAAUAACAGAAGGAAAGAGAAAGAAUCAUGAACAUGUGUCCAAAAACCAUGACAUACCCCAGUCAGAAAUCAGAGCAGUCCAGCUGUCCUAUCUCUACCUCGGUGCUAUGAAAUCACUUAGUGCUCUUCUUGGCUGUAGUAAAUAUGCUGAGCUGUUGCUGAUACCAAAAGUUCUGGCUGAAAAUGGCCACAACUCAGACUGUGCAAGCUCUCCAGUUGUGCACGAAGACGUGGAAAUGCGUGCAGCCCUGCAAUUCUUGAUGCGACACAUGGUGAAGAGAGCAGUCAUGCGGUCACCCAUAAAGAGAGCAUUGGGAUUAGCUGAUCUGGAACGAGCUCAAGCCAUGAUCUAUAAAUUAGUGGUCAGUGGGCUUUUGGAAGACCAGUUUGGGGGCAAAAUUAAGCAAGAGAUUGAUCAACAAGCUGAAGAAAGUGACCAAGCUCAGCAGGCACAGACCCCAGUUACCACUAGCCCAUCAGCCUCGAGCACAACUUCUUUUAUGAGCAGCUCCCUAGAGGACACCACAACUGCCACCACUCCAGUCACUGACACAGAAACAGUACCUGCGUCUGAGUCCCCAGGAGUGAUGCCACUAAGUCUCCUCAGGCAAAUGUUCUCUAGUUACCCCACCACCACCGUACUUCCCACACGACGUGCACAGACUCCUCCAAUAUCAUCGUUACCAACCUCGCCUUCUGAUGAAGUAGGAAGGAGGCAGAGUUUAACUUCUCCUGAUUCCCAGUCAGCAAGGCCAGCUAACCGCACAGCCUUGUCAGACCCAAGCAGCAGACUUUCAACGUCUCCUCCUCCUCCAGCCAUUGCAGUACCCUUGCUGGAAAUGGGGUUUUCUCUCCGACAGAUUGCCAAAGCCAUGGAAGCCACAGGUGCUCGAGGAGAGGCUGAUGCCCAGAACAUCACUGUCCUUGCCAUGUGGAUGAUAGAGCACCCUGGGCAUGAGGAUGAGGAGGAGCCUCAGACAGGCAGCACAGCAGACUCAAGGCAUGGAGCAGCAGUUCUGGGCAGUGGUGGGAAAUCAAAUGAUCCCUGUUAUUUGCAGUCACCAGGAGACAUCCCAUCAGCUGAUGCUGCUGAAAUGGAGGAAGGCUUUAGUGAAAGCCCUGAUAAUCUGGAUCACACAGAGAAUGCAGCUUCUGGAAGUGGGCCACCAUCUAGGGGUCGCUCAGCAGUAACAAGAAGGCACAAGUUUGAUUUGGCUGCUCGCACAUUGCUAGCAAGAGCAGCGGGGUUAUACCGCUCUGUGCAGGCCCACAGGAAUCAAAGUCGGAGAGAAGGAAUAUCUUUGCAGCAAGACCCAGGGGCAUUGUAUGACUUUAAUUUAGAUGAGGAAUUGGAAAUUGAUCUUGAUGAUGAAGCGAUGGAAGCUAUGUUUGGACAAGACCUGACCAGUGAAAAUGAUAUUCUGGGAAUGUGGAUCCCAGAGGUACUGGAUUGGCCUACCUGGCAUGUUUGUGAGUCUGAAGACAGGGAAGAAGUGGUGGUGUGUGAACUGUGUGAAUGCAGUGUUGUCAGCUUCAAUCAGCACAUGAAGAGAAACCACCCAGGUUGCGGGCGCAGUGCAAACCGCCAGGGCUAUCGGAGCAAUGGCUCCUAUGUUGAUGGCUGGUUCGGUGGUGAAUGCGGGAGUGGAAAUCCAUACUACCUGCUUUGUGGCAGCUGCAGGGAAAAGUACUUAGCCCUGAAGACCAAAUCUAAGACAACAAGUUCUGAAAGGUACAAGGGACAAGCUCCAGAUCUAAUUGGCAAGCAGGACAGUGUAUAUGAAGAAGACUGGGACAUGUUGGAUGUUGAUGAAGAUGAAAAGCUAACAGGUGAAGAAGAAUUUGAAUUACUUGCUGGACCACUUGGUUUAAAUGACCGACGUAUUGUACCAGAACCAGUCCAGUUCCCCGACAGUGAUCCAUUGGGAGCAUCAGUAGCAAUGGUAACAGCCACAAACAGUAUGGAAGAGACUCUGAUGCAAAUAGGUUGCCACGGCUCUGUAGAAAAGAGUUCCUCUGGAAGAGUCACAUUAGGUGAGCAGGCAGCUGCCUUAGCGAACCCUCACGACCGAGUGGUGGCUCUGCGGAGAGUGACUGCUGCUGCUCAAGUGCUGCUGGCCAGAACCAUGGUCAUGAGAGCUCUGUCUCUCCUGUCGGUCAGUGGUUCCAGUUGUAGCCUGGCUGCUGGUCUUGAAUCUCUGGGGCUUACAGAUAUCCGCACACUGGUUCGAUUAAUGUGCUUGGCUGCAGCAGGGAGAGCUGGCCUCUCCACCAGCCCUUCCGCCAUGGCAAGCCCCACAGAACGCUCACGAGGUGGGCACAGCAAAGCCAACAAGCCCAUCUCUUGCUUGGCUUAUCUGAGCACAGCAGUGGGAUGUCUGGCAUCAAAUACUCCUAGUGCUGCAAAGCUGUUGGUGCAGUUGUGUACACAGAACUUGAUUUCUGCUGCAACAGGUGUAAAUCUAACUACGGUAGAUGAUCCAAUUCAGCGAAAGUUUCUACCCAGCUUUCUCCGAGGAAUUGCUGAAGAGAAUAAGCUUGUGACCUCCCCAAACUUUGUUGUAACUCAGGCCCUUGUGGCAUUACUAGCAGACAAAGGGGCCAAACUGAGACCUAACUAUGAUAAGUCAGAAGUUGAAAAGAAAGGUUUAACUGCUCAAUUGUAUGUCCAUCCUUCCUAUGAUCCUUCUGCUGUAGGCCCUCUGGAGCUAGCUAAUGCCCUGGCAGCUUGCUGCCUGUCCUCCAGGCUGUCCUCACAGCAUAGGCAAUGGGCUGCUCAGCAGCUCGUACGCACUCUGGCUGCACACGACCGUGACAACCAAACUACUCCACAAACACUCGCCGAUAUGGGAGGAGAUCUCAGGAAAUGUUCCUUUAUCAAGUUGGAGGCUCAUCAGAACAGAGUAAUGACUUGUGUUUGGUGUAAUAAAAAAGGACUCUUGGCCACAAGUGGCAACGAUGGCACCAUCCGGGUGUGGAAUGUUACCAAGAAGCAGUAUUCACUGCAACAGACCUGCGUGUUCAACAGAUUGGAAGGGGAUAUUGAAGAAAGCCUGGGAUCACCCAGUGAUCCAAGCUUCUUACCUGUUUCUUGGAGUAUCAGUGGGAAAUACCUAGCUGGAGCUUUGGAAAAGACAGUGAAUAUCUGGCAAGUUAACGGAGGAAAAGGGUUAAUAGAUAUUCAGCCUCAUUGGGUAUCUUCCCUGGCUUGGCCGGAGGAGGGUCCAGCUACAGCCUGGUCAGGGGAGUCUCCAGAAUUACUGUUGGUGGGACGGAUGGAUGGAUCUCUAGGACUGAUUGAAGUUGUUGAUGUGUCCACCAUGCACCGUCGAGAACUGGAGCAUUGCUAUCGAAAGGAUGUGUCUGUAACUUGCAUUGCUUGGUUCAGUGAAGACAGACCAUUUGCAGUGGGAUAUUUUGAUGGAAAAUUGUUACUGGGAACAAAGGAGCCACUUGAGAAAGGAGGCAUUGUUCUAAUUGAUGCACAUAAGGAUACCCUUGUUAGUAUGAAGUGGGACCCAACAGGUCAUAUUCUUUUGACAUGUGCCAAAGAAGAGAAUGUGAAACUCUGGGGGCCUAUUUCAGGAUGCUGGCACUGUCUACAUUCACUCUGCCACCCGUCUAUUGUGAAUGGAAUCGCUUGGUGCAGCCUCCCAGGGAAAGGAUCCAAAUUGCAUUUACUGAUGGCUACUGGCUGUCAGAGUGGCUUAGUAUGUGUUUGGUGUAUUCCACAAGAUACCACACAGACCAGUAUGGCUGUUGCAGAAGGAUGGUGGGACCAGGAAUCAAAUUGCCAGGAUGGAUAUAGGAAACCAGCCGGAGCGAAGUGUGUUUAUCAGCUGCGGGGACACAUCACCCCUGUCCGGACCGUCGCCUUUAGUUCAGAUGGGUUGGCCCUGGUGUCUGGUGGCCUAGGUGGGCUCAUGAACAUUUGGUCUUUAAGGGAUGGUUCUGUCUUGCAAACUGUUGUGAUAGGCUCUGGAGCUAUUCAGACCACAGUGUGGAUUCCAGAUGUCGGGGUUGCUGCUUGUUCAAACAGAUCAAAGGAUGUUUUGGUCGUGAAUUGUACGUCGGAGUGGGUUGCUACCAAUCACGUUUUGGCCACCUGUAGGACAGCGCUGAAACAGCAGGGUGUCCUGGGACUGAACAUGGCUCCCUGCAUGCGAGCAUUUCUGGAGCGGCUACCCAUGAUGCUUCAGGAGCAGUAUGCCUAUGAAAAGCCUCAUGUGGUUUGUGGAGACCAGCUUGUUCACAGCCCCUACAUGCAGUGUCUGGCUUCUCUUGCUGUGGGGCUUCAUCUGGAUCAGCUGCUGUGUAACCCUCCAGUGCCACCACACCACCAGCACUGCCUCCCUGACCCUGCUUCCUGGAAUCCAAACGAGUGGGCCUGGUUAGAAUGUUUCUCAACCACCAUAAAAGCUGCUGAAGCCCUGACCAAUGGAGCACAGUUUCCAGAAUCUUUUACUGUUCCUGACCUAGAGCCUGUUCCAGAGGAUGAACUUGUAUUCCUAAUGGAUAACAGUAAAUGGAUUAAUGGCAUGGAUGAACAAAUUAUGUCUUGGGCAACUUCCAGACCUGAGGACUGGCACCUGGGAGGUAAAUGUGAUGUCUACUUGUGGGGUGCUGGCAGGCAUGGACAGCUGGCAGAAGCUGGAAGAAAUGUGAUGGUACCUGCAGCAGCACCCUCAUUCUCACAGGCCCAACAGGUCAUAUGUGGUCAGAAUUGUACCUUUGUCAUCCAGGCCAACGGCACAGUGUUGGCUUGUGGGGAAGGAAGUUAUGGCAGAUUAGGACAAGGAAAUUCAGAUGACCUUCAUGUGCUGACGGUUAUUUCUGCCUUACAAGGCUUUGUGGUGACUCAGCUGGUGACUUCAUGUGGUUCUGAUGGGCACUCAAUGGCCCUGACUGAGAGUGGUGAGGUCUUCAGCUGGGGAGAUGGUGAUUAUGGCAAACUCGGCCAUGGGAACAGCGACAGGCAGCGGCGACCCAGGCAGAUUGAGGCCUUACAAGGAGAGGAAGUGGUGCAGAUGUCUUGUGGCUUCAAGCACUCAGCAGUGGUAACUUCAGAUGGCAAACUCUUUACCUUUGGGAAUGGUGACUACGGUCGUCUGGGUCUUGGAAACACCUCUAAUAAAAAACUUCCAGAGAGAGUGACUGCACUGGAGGGGUACCAGAUUGGACAGGUGGCUUGUGGCUUAAACCACACUUUGGCAGUAUCAGCAGAUGGCUCUAUGGUAUGGGCUUUUGGAGAUGGUGACUAUGGAAAACUAGGUUUAGGAAAUUCCACGGCAAAAUCCUCACCUCAGAAAGUUGAUGUUCUUUGUGGAAUUGGAAUUAAAAAGGUUGCUUGUGGAACUCAGUUUUCUGUUGCAUUGACCAAAGAUGGUCAUGUGUAUACCUUUGGUCAAGAUCGCUUGAUAGGCUUGCCAGAGGGGCGUGCUCGCAAUCACAAUCGGCCACAGCAAAUCCCUGUCCUGGCUGGGGUGGUCAUCGAAGACGUGGCAGUUGGAGCUGAGCACACACUUGCUUUGGCAUCAACUGGAGAUGUAUAUGCCUGGGGGAGCAACUCAGAAGGACAGCUUGGCCUGGGCCACACCAACCAUGUUCGAGAACCAACCCUGGUAACAGUUUUGCAAGGGAAAAACAUUCGGCAGAUCUCAGCUGGCCGCUGCCACAGUGCUGCAUGGACAGCGCCGCCUGUCCCGCCAAGAGCACCAGGUGUGUCGGUACCUCUGCAGCUGGGCCUGCCUGAUGCAGUGCCCCCCCAGUACGGCGCGCUGCGGGAGGUGAGCAUUCACACCGCGAGGGCCAGGCUCCGGCUGCUUUACCACUUCUCAGACCUCAUGUACUCGUCCUGGAGGCUGCUGAACCUCAGCCCCAACAACCAGAACAGUACAUCUCACUAUAAUGCUGGAACAUGGGGCAUUGUGCAGGGACAGCUUCGGCCUUUGUUAGCCCCAAGAGUCUACACCCUCCCAAUGGUGCGCUCCAUAGGAAAAACCAUGGUUCAAGGCAAAAACUAUGGACCUCAAAUUACAGUAAAGAGGAUAUCGACCAGAGGACGGAAGUGUAAGCCCAUCUUUGUCCAAAUAGCGAGGCAAGUAGUUAAACUGAAUGCAUCAGACCUCCGUCUGCCCUCCAGAGCGUGGAAGGUCAAACUGGUUGGAGAAGGGGCUGAUGAUGCCGGAGGAGUGUUUGAUGACACGAUCACAGAGAUAUGCCAGGAACUUGAAACUGGUGUUGUCGACCUUCUCAUACCCUCUCCCAAUGCAACUGCAGAAGUGGGUUACAACAGGGACAGGUUCCUUUUAACCCUUCUGCCUGCCUUGAUGAACACUUAAUGCAAUUUAAGUUCUUGGGGAUUUUAAUGGGGGUUGCCAUUCGCACAAAGAAGCCUCUGGACCUCCACUUGGCCCCUCUGGUGUGGAAGCAGCUGUGCUGCGUCCCACUCACCCUGGAAGACCUGGAGGAGGUGGAUCUGCUCUACGUGCAGACCCUCAACAGCAUUCUUCACAUUGAAGACAGUGGGAUUACCGAGGAAAGUUUCCAUGAGAUGAUUCCUCUUGAUUCUUUUGUUGGCCAGAGUGCUGAUGGCAAAAUGGUUCCCAUUAUUCCUGGUGGAAAUAGUAUCCCACUCACAUUUUCCAAUAGGAAGGAGUAUGUGGAGAGGGCCAUUGAAUACCGACUUCAUGAGAUGGACCGGCAGGUGGCUGCAGUCCGAGAAGGGAUGUCCUGGAUCGUCCCCGUGCCGCUGCUCUCCCUCCUCACAGCGAAGCAGCUGGAGCAGAUGGUGUGCGGGAUGCCUGAGAUCUCGGUGGAGGUCUUGAAGAAAGUGGUGCGAUACCGGGAGGUGGAUGAGCAGCAUCAGCUAGUGCAGUGGUUCUGGCACACGCUGGAGGAGUUCUCCAAUGAGGAGCGGGUGCUCUUCAUGAGGUUCGUGUCCGGAAGAUCCCGACUACCAGCCAACACUGCUGACAUUUCUCAGAGAUUUCAAAUCAUGAAGGUUGAUAGGCCUUACGACAGUCUGCCUACCUCACAGACCUGCUUCUUCCAGCUGAGGCUGCCCCCCUACUCCAGCCAGCUGGUCAUGGCGGAGCGCCUGCGCUAUGCCAUCAACAACUGCCGCUCAAUCGACAUGGACAACUACAUGCUCUCGCGAAACGUGGACAACGCCGAGGGCUCCGACACCGACUACUGACGCUGGGGGUGCCGCCACCCACUUUUCCUCAGUGAUGCUCACUUCCAGUUUAAUGUUGAUACACUUUUAUGGUAACUGCAUAGAUGUUUUAGGAACAUAAACCAACAUUAUAAACAGUGGCCACAUCUAGUUCCUCUAAAUGUAACAAAGAAAUUAGAUGUUUUUAUUUUUCUGUGAUUGUACAAAAAGAAAAAAACAAAGUGCUCUCAGUCAGGUUUUUCCCUCAUAUUUUUGGUCACUUUUGAUAAUUUUGCAUGGAACCAUUUUGGUGCAUUUUUAGUUGGGAAUGGUACCUUUUUGUAAACCCACCCAGUGAACAUGAAAUUGUACAUUGUGUAUAAUUGUUCAUUAGAAAGGACAGUUUUACAUGAA